rnacentral:rRNA from 1 species
AAGUCGUAACAAGGUUUCCGUAGGUGAACCUGCGGAAGGAUCAUUGUCGAAAUCGAACGGAAGAACGACCCGCGAAUCGUCAUUGCGUACUAGACAGAGCCCGUGAGCACCCAACGCUCAUGGGGCUCGCGUCGCGUCGGCGCGGGUGUACUCGAGACCCGCGUCGCACCGGCGGACGAACAAAGUCAGCACGGAUCGUGCCAAGGAAAUUUACGGAGAGAAUCGUCGUCCCACGCCUUCGAUAGUCCUCGAUGCGGGACGGGGGGCGGGGGAUGUACGCAAUCUCUACUCAAAGUCAAAACGACUCUCGGCAACGGAUAUCUCGGCUCUUGCAUCGAUGAAGAACGUAGCGAAAUGCGAUACUUGGUGUGAAUUGCAGAAUCCCGCGAACCAUCAAAUCUUUGAACGCAAGUUGCGCCCGAAGCCAUUCGGCCGAGGGCACGCCUGCCUGGGUGUCGUGAAUCCCCUUGCCCCUAGGCACCCCGCACGAGCAUCGGCGGGGAUAAAUGCUCGGGCGCAGAAUGUGGUCUCCCGUGGGAUCGGCAGUGCAUGUCGAGGUGCGGUUGGCCGAAAAUCGAGCAUGGCGGUGACGGGCACCACGGCGUUCGGUGGAUCGAACGAGAUUGGCUCCGCCGUGGGCUCGGCAUUCGGCGGGCUCCGGACUUUGAAUAUCCCCGAGUGCGAUCCCAGGUCAGGCGGGGCUACCCGCUGAGUUUAAGCAUAUCAAUAAGCGGAGGAAAAGAAACUAACGAGGAUUCCCUUAGUAGCGGCGAGCGAACCGGGAAGAGCCCAGCGUGAAAAUCGUCCGUCAUCGGCGGCCGAAUUGUAGUCUGGAGAAGCGUCCUCAGUGACGGACCGGACCCAAGUUCACUGGAAGGUGGCGCCGGAGAGGGUGAGAGCC